rnacentral:rRNA from 1 species
GACGAACGCUGGCGGCGUGCUUAACACAUGCAAGUCGAACGGUAAGGCCCCUUCGGGGGUACACGAGUGGCGAACGGGUGAGUAACACGUGGGUGAUCUGCCCUGCACUUCGGGAUAAGCCUGGGAAACUGGGUCUAAUACCGGAUAGGACCACGCUCUGCAUGGAGUGUGGUGGAAAGCUUUUGCGGUGUGGGAUGGGCCCGCGGCCUAUCAGCUUGUUGGUGGGGUGAUGGCCUACCAAGGCGACGACGGGUAGCCGGCCUGAGAGGGUGUCCGGCCACACUGGGACUGAGGUACGGCCCAGACUCCUACGGGAGGCAGCAGUGGGGAAUAUUGCACAAUGGGCGCAAGCCUGAGGCAGCGACGCCGCGUGGGGGAUGACGGCCUUCGGGUUGUGAACCUCUUUCAGUACCGACGAAGCGCAAGUGACGGUAGGUACAGAAGAAGCACCGGCCAACUACGUG